rnacentral:rRNA from 1 species
GGGAUGAGCUUGCGUCCGAUUAGCUAGUUGGCGGGCAACGGCCCACCAAGGCGACGAUCGGUAGCCGGCCUGAGAGGGCGAUCGGCCACAUUGGGACUGAGAUACGGCCCAGACUCUACGGGAGGCAGCAGUAGGGAAUAUUGCACAAUGGGGGGAACCCUGAUGCAGCAACGCCACGUGUGGGAAGAAGCAUUUCGGUGUGUAAACCACUGUCGUGAGGGAAUAAUGCUUGGCUCCGGCCAAGUUGAAUGUACCUCGAAAGGAAGCACCGGCAAACUUCGUGCCAGCAGCCGCGGUAAUACGAGGGGUGCAAGCGUUGUUCGGAAUCACUGGGCGUAAAGGGAGCGUAGGCGGAGACGCAAGCAGUCUGUACAAUACCGGGGCCCAACCCCGGACCUGCAGACUGGACUGUGUCUCUUGGAUAGUUCAGGGGCAGGCGGAAUUCCUGGUGUAGCGGUGGAAUGCGUAGAGAUCAGGAAGAACACCGAUGGCGAAGGCAGCCUGCUGGGGACUCAUCGACGCUGAGGCUCGAAAGUGCGGGUAGCAAACAGGAUUAGAUACCCUGGUAGUCC